GCAAUUUUUAAUCUGUGGUUAUGCAUCAAUUUCUCUGCUUCUUCUUUAUAAAUCUUGCAGGUCAGGACAACACACUUAUCGGGGCAAUGUUGGGAUGUUUAGGCUUGGGUGGAGACAUGGACUUUUGGAAGAGGUGAAUUAGCUUAGCUCUCUGUCAUUAGCUUUAUCUGUUCUAUGCAUCUCUACAAUCUUACAAUGCUCCUUUAUUAAAUUGCAAGAUGUUGGGACCCGUUACUGGAAUACAAGAUUUGGAACCAAAGUGGUUGACAAUGCUAGAGUCGAAAGCAAGUGUGAAAUUCACAUUGAAAAUGACAGGAGAGGGUUGCGCAUGAUCUGUAGUUUCAAUCAACCUCGCUGUUUUCGUUAGAAUCACAAUUAAAGGUCAGUUUUUCCGACAUUUUUUUUUCUUUUUGCUGCAUGUUUAUGUAUGGUUGGUCUAUGAGAAUACUGGUUAGUUGUCAUCAAGCAGCCCUUGUAGAUGUGUAUUUUGUUUAUAUAUUGCUAGUUUAACCAUUAGUACGUUUGACUUGGGGAUACAAGCUUGGAUAUGUUAUAUUUUGUUGUAUAUAGAGAAUCCCGGGUAUGUCCAGCAUAGGAUAACAUGUAUUUUUUGGUUUAACAUUUGGAUGGGUUGUAUUGUUAGGUUGCAUGAAUCGGUCUUAGCCGAGAACAUGGGUUAUGUAAUAUAUUAACUUCACUAUUUUAGUGCUAAUGUUGAUUUAUGUUUAGUUUGUAA